rnacentral:rRNA from 1 species
UACAGAAGGCCGCUACCUGGCGACAGGAUGCCAAUCCCCAAAACCUCUCUCAGUUCGGAUCGAAGUCUGCAACCCGACUUCGUGAAGCUGGAUUCGCUAGUAAUCGCGCAUCAGCCAUGGCGCGGUGAAUACGUUCCCGGGCCUUGUACGCACCGCCCGUCACACCAUGAGAGUCGGGAACACCCGAAGUCCGUAGUCUAACCGCAAGGGGGACGCGGCCGAAGGUGGGUUCGAUAAUUGGGGUGAAGUCGUAACAAGGUAAC